GUCUUACAAUUGAUCUCUGAACUUCAGGUAAGUUCAUGUUGAUACUUUAUCAAUCCUGAUGUA
rnacentral:snoRNA from 1 species